AGACCAAUCUCUCCUAGCCGCCCGAAGCUGAAUUCUCAGCCGAAAGUAGCACGGGACUGCGAAUGAGAGACGUGCAGACCUAAAGAAUUACGGGCUUCCUCAAGGUGGGGCUUCAGGUGCGCGCCUACUACAUAUCCCAGAAAGCCCUGCGCGCGGGUUCUCCUUCCGGCUAGUUGCUUCUGACUUCCUGGCAGCCCGAGGCUCCCCGGACCCGGACGGAAACUCCAAGGCAACUCUUCACUUGCCAGCGAUCCUGCGUGCGCGACCGAUUUCCGCACAUGCGCGGUCGGUGCCUGCAGUGCCCGCUCGACACCUAAGUAACCGCACGGUUGGUCUGGCCUCUAUGGCAGGGUGAGGUGUUGGCGACAGAUCCUCUUCCAGAGCCUGGGACAGAGAGAAGGCAGAUGGACUUGGUUGGACCCCACGGGACACAGGUCUCUCCCAACCACAGGACCCCCCACCAAAGUGGCCGCCUCGGGAAGUUUCCUGCCCAGGUCUCAGUGCUUGAGCAGCGCCGUCUUCCUGCUCUCUCUUCCCAGACCCCGUCACCAGAGGGAUCUAUUCAUAUUCAAGUAUUUCUGAGAUGCAAACAUUGUAUAGAAACAAGAUAAAAAGUAGUACAGAAGUUACAAAAUCCAGUGCCUAUGGGAACCAGCCGGGUGGAUUCAGCGAGUGAAGACAUCUGGAUGUGAGACUCUCAGGAUGUGCCAAAGAUAAGAGAACCAGGUGAACAUUUAUUUCCUGAUGCCAGAGUCAACCCAUAUCAGCAGGAGCACUAGUGAUUUUAGCAUCAAAAAAGUCCCAGCAGGCUGUGGUUACAGGCAGACACCUGUGGCACAACAAGGAGCAGAGCCCAUCAGCCCAGACAGGGUUACCUUUUUGCGUGGCCGAAGCUUGUCCCGCCAUUCUUUCAGGUUCUGGUUAUGGCUUUCAUCCAGGGCCUUCAGCUUCUGAGUUUCAUGCUCUACCAAGAGGUGACACUUUUCAUUCUGAAACAUAUUCCAGGCAGAACAGGAGAGAUUUGUGACAAAGGAUAAGGGCCACGGACCUGGCUGAAGCUCUGCCAACCUCACUGUUCUCUCUGAGGGUCUGGGCCCCCAGAUUGCUGAGUGCCUGGGAGAGACGGAGGCCGGCAGGGCAGGGGGCAGUACCUGGAGCUGCUGCAGCUCACUCAUGUUGCUCUCGCACUGUGCCACCAUGUCCCGCAUCUGGUUCUCAUGUUUUUGCUGCUGCUGCAACCGCUCCGACUUCUGCCUCUUCUCCUCCUGCUGGGAGAACUGCAACAGAGAACAGGUGGAUGCCUCAGGGGGCCACGGGCCUGGCGGGGGUGCCUAGGAGACCCCAUCUGAGGGGCUGGUUUAUGCACAGCCUGCACCACUCGGGCUGUGCCCCUCUGUUUCAGGUCCUUCACCUGAGCUGAGACCCAGCCCCUGCCCUCAAGGAACCCCCAGAUCCAUGAGAACAUGACACUGCUAUGACAUGGGCUAGGACAGCAUGGGUAGCAAACAGGAAUCACAGGAGCCCAGGGCCACCAACUCCACGUCCCCAAGCCACAUGGGUGACUCGUGAGUGGAGUCUUGGUGGGUGAGAGGCAGGAGCUUACUGCAGAAGCAGCUGCAGGAUAGAAACCCAGAGUAUGAAAGGGAAUGGCACAUGCCUGCCCCGUCCACCACGGGGGGCUCAACAUGAGACUUACGAGGCUUCUGGGCUGAGACUCGGGCUUCCAUUCCUUCCCCCUUCCCAAGACCCUGUGCUGCAUCUUAUAUUUCUGUUCUCCCAACCAUGGAAGAUUCAGGCCCCAUCAAACUGGAUCCGUCCGCAGUCCAGUACCCCCAGACCCCCACCUGUUUGAUCUUCUCACGCUGCUCAGCGGCGCUGCCCGCUCCGUUGAUGUGGAGGCUCUUCUUGUACAUGGCCAUGCGCGUCUUGCCCUCGCUCCUCUGAAUCUUGGGCAGCCGUGCCUUCUCCUGCUGCUGACGCACCUUCAGCUGCUCCAUCAUGCGCUGGUUGUAGCGCUGCAUCUGCUCACGCUCCUGCAGGGGACACCCAGCCAGGGCCAAGGUCAGCUGUGCUUCAGGCACGUGGCUGUGGUCAGAGGUCAAGGCUGCCACACUCAACUCAGGAGCCCUGGGCUGGCGUGGUCCAGAAUGCUCAGCACAGCACGGCUUGUGUCAUUUUACCUCUCUUAAGUAACAUUUUCUGGUCUCACUUUAAAAGUUACCAUGCAUGACAUUCUGGAUUCUUACCUACCAAAUGCCCUCUCAUCAAAGCAAUGGUGGCAUGCUCUCCCGAGCUAGUGUCUCAAAGCAAAAUGUAUAUUCAUGAGAUGGUUCCUCAUUUUUGAUGACAGGUGUCAAUUCGUAUUUUUUAAAGUCUUGAUAAAGUUGAAUUCUUUUCUUCA